UCGAUUUUCCCACAUUGCAGUUUUUCGGUAACAUUUGAAGAAAUUUUGGCGGCUCUUCAACUUAAUCAAUGACAAUGGUAAAUCAAGUUAGGGACGUCCCAACGAUAGCACCCAACUUUUGAAUGGUUUGGAUCGUUGUGCAACAUGUUAACUUCGUUAAUGACUUAUUCACUUUUUCGCCAUUUGAAUUUGCUUCUUCAAUGGAAUGCUUGACUCUUUCUCUUGCAGCCUCUAGAUCUUUUAAAUCUUUAGAUAACUUCAUGAAAUUU
rnacentral:lncRNA from 1 species